AACGAACGCUGGCGGCAUGCCUAACACAUGCAAGUCGAACGAGACCUUCGGGUCUAGUGGCGCACGGGUGCGUAACGCGUGGGAACCUGCCCUUAGGUUCGGAAUAACUCCCCGAAAGGGGUGCUAAUACCGGAUAAUGUCUUCGGACCAAAGAUUUAUCGCCUUUGGAUGGGCCCGCGUUGGAUUAGCUAGUUGGUAGGGUAAAAGCCUACCAAGGCGACGAUCCAUAGCUGGUCUGAGAGGAUGAUCAGCCACACUAGGACUGGGACACGGCCCAGACUCCUACGGGAGGCAGCAGUGGGGAAUAUUGGACAAUGGGCGAAAGCCUGAUCCAGCAAUGCCGCGUGAGUGAUGAAGGCCUUAGGGUUGUAAAGCUCUUUUACCCGGGAUGAUAAUGACAGUACCGGGAGAAUAAGCUCCGGCUAACUCCGUG
rnacentral:rRNA from 1 species